rnacentral:rRNA from 1 species
GAUGAACGCUAGCUAUAGGCUUAACACAUGCAAGUCGAGGGGAAACGGCAUUAUGUGCUUGCACAUUUUGGACGUCGACCGGCGCACGGGUGAGUAUCGCGUAUCCAACCUGCCCUUUACUUGGGGAUACCCCGUUGAAAGACGGCCUAAUACCCGAUGUAAUUCAUUGAUGGCAUCAGAUAUGAAUAAAAGAUUUAUCGGUAAAGGAUGGGGAUGCGUCUGAUUAGCUUGUUGGUGAGGUAACGGCUCACCAAGGCAACGAUCAGUAGGGGUUCUGAGAGGAAGGUCCCCCACAUUGGAACUGAGACACGGUCCAAACUCCUACGGGAGGCAGCAGUGAGGAAUAUUGGUCAAUGGGCGCAAGCCUGAACCAGCCAAGUAGCGUGCAGGAAGACGGCCCUAUGGGUUGUAAACUGCUUUUAUACGAGAAUAAUUUGAUGCACGUGUGCGUUAUUGCAUGUAUCGUAU